GACUAGAGUUUGAUCCUGGCUCAGAGCGAACGCUGGCGGCAUGCUUAACACAUGCAAGUCGCACGGUCAGCAAUGGCAGUGGCGGACGGGUGAGUAACACGUAGGAAUCUAUCCCGGGGUGGGGGAUAACAGCGGGAAACUGCUGCUAAUACCGCAUGAUACCUGAGGGUCAAAGGCGCGAGUCGCCUUGGGAGGAGCCUGCGUCUGAUUAGCUAGUUGGUGGGGUAAAGGCCUACCAAGGCGACGAUCAGUAGCUGGUCUGAGAGGAUGAUCAGCCACAUUGGGACUGAGACACGGCCCAAACUCCUACGGGAGGCAGCAGUGGGGAAUAUUGGACAAUGGGGGCAACCCUGAUCCAGCAAUGCCGCGUGUGUGAAGAAGGUCUUCGGAUUGUAAAGCACUUUUGGCAGGGACGAUGAUGACGGUACCUGCAGAAUAAGCCCCGGCUAACUUC
rnacentral:rRNA from 1 species